rnacentral:lncRNA from 1 species
AAACAGGAGGAAGCCAGCUCUGUGCCUGGAGGGGACUCGCCGCCAUCUCAGGUCUCUUGGCUUUGCCAGGGCCCACCGGAGAAAACUGACGACCCGUUUCUGUAAUCCUUAUGGGAGACCAACCUUGUGCCUCCGGGAGAUCCACUCUCCCACCUGGAAACGCACGGGAAGCCAAGCCUCCAAAAAAGCGCUGCCUCCUCGCUCCGCGUUGGGAUUAUCCGGAAGGAACUCCCAACGGAGGUAGUACCACUCUACCCUCCGCACCUCCUCCUGCAUCAGCCGGCCUGAAGUCGCACCCUCCUCCUCCGGAGAAGUAGAGAAAUAAAUUUCUCCCACCCUAAACCAGUCUUUGAGUGAUUGCAGUAUGACUCCAUUUCCCUGGUGCAUUCAUAUAAUAGUUCACCUGGUGUGGAAGUUGUGCUUUUUAAGUCUUAUGAUGUAAUCAGCGCGAUUUCACUUCCUGAAUUUCGAUGAAUUCUAAGACAUGGGCAAGAUCGGGUUGUAAGACCUCUGAGAUUUAAGGCCAUGCCCUGGAUCAUGGUGAACUUACCAAAGCAAAC